rnacentral:rRNA from 1 species
GACAGAGGGUGCAAACGUUGUUCGGAAUUACUGGGCGUAAAGCGCGUGUAGGCGGCGGCGUGUGUCGGGCGUGAAAUCCCAUGGCUCAACCAUGGAAGUGCACCCGAAACUGCGUUGCUAGAGUCCUGGAGAGGAAGGUGGAAUACUUGGUGUAGAGGUGAAAUUCGUAGAUAUCAAGUGGAACACCGGUGGCGAAGGCGGCCUUCUGGACAGUGACUGACGCUGAGACGCGAAAGCGUGGGGAGCAAACAGG